AGGUCUGUGUCAUAGGGAAUGUGGCGACCAAGGAUGCGAUGGUCCCAGUGCCGAUCAGUGCCUGAACUGUUUCCACUACAGCCUUGGAAGUGUUAAAACUGGCAGGAAGUGUGUGAACUCCUGCCCUCCUGGCUACUUUGGAGACAGCCUGCAACAUAAGUGCCGCAGAUGUCACAGGGGCUGCGAAGCGUGUUUGGGCAGAAGCCAGAACUCAUGCACAGCCUGCAAGCGUGGUUAUUACCACCACCAAGAGACAAACACUUGUGUGAUGCUGUGUCCAGCUGGGUUUUACUCUGAAGACGGUCAAAGACGUUGCCAGAAGUGUCACCAAAACUGUAAGAAAUGCUUUGGAGAGAUGGACAAAUGUUCUAUCUGCAAAGAUGGAUUCAG